GACUCAGGAAGACAACUUCUGCAGGGUCACUCCCUGGCUUCUGGAGGAAAGAGAAGGAGGGCAGUGCUCCAGUGGUACAGAAGUGAGACAUAAUGGAAUCAGGCUUCACCUCCAAGGACACCUAUCUAAGCCAUUUUAACCCUCGGGAUUACCUAGAAAAAUAUUACAAGUUUGGUUCUAGGCACUCUGCAGAAAGCCAGAUUCUUAAGCACCUUCUGAAAAAUCUUUUCAAGAUAUUCUGCCUAGACGGUGUGAAGGGAGACCUGCUGAUUGACAUCGGCUCUGGCCCCACUAUCUAUCAGCUCCUCUCUGCUUGUGAAUCCUUUAAGGAGAUCGUCGUCACUGACUACUCAGACCAGAACCUGCAGGAGCUGGAGAAGUGGCUGAAGAAAGAGCCAGAGGCCUUUGACUGGUCCCCAGUGGUGACCUAUAGUCAAGGGUCCAGAGAAGGAGGAGAAGUUGAGACAGGCGGUCAAGCAGGUGCUGAAGUGUGAUGUGACUCAGAGCCAGCCACUGGGGGCCGUCCCCUUACCCCCGGCUGACUGCGUGCUCAGCACACUGUGUCUGGAUGCCGCCUGCCCAGACCUCCCCACCUACUGCAGGGCGCUCAGGAACCUCGGCAGCCUACUGAAGCCAGGGGGCUUCCUGGUGAUCAUGGAUGCGCUCAAGAGCAGCUACUACAUGAUUGGUGAGCAGAAGUUCUCCAGCCUCCCCCUGGGCCGGGAGGCAGUAGAGGCUGCUGUGAAAGAGGCUGGCUACACAAUCGAAUGGUUUGAGGUGAUCUCGCAAAGUUAUUCUUCCACCAUGGCCAACAACGAAGGACUUUUCUCCCUGGUGGCGAGGAAGCUGAGCAGACCCCUGUGAUGCCUGUGACCUCAAUUAAAGCAAUUCCUUUGACCUG
rnacentral:lncRNA from 1 species